rnacentral:rRNA from 1 species
GAUGAACGCUGGCGGCGUGCCUAAUACAUGCAAGUCGAGCGAACGGACGAGAAGCUUGCUUCUCUGAUGUUAGCGGCGGACGGGCGAGUAACACGUGGAUAACCUACCUAUAAGACUGGGAUAACUUCGGGAAACCGGAGCUAAUACCGGAUAAUAUUUUGAACCGCAUGGUUCAAAAGUGAAAGACGGUCUUGCUGUCACUUAUAGAUGGAUCCGCGCUGCAUUAGCUAGUUGGUAAGGUAACGGCUUACCAAGGCAACGAUGCAUAGCCGAGCUGAGAGGGUGAUCGGCCACACUGGAACUGAGACACGGUCCAGACUCCUACGGGAGGCAGCAGUAGGGAAUCUUCCGCAAUGGGCGAAAGCCUGACGGAGCAACGCCGCGUGAGUGAUGAAGGUCUUCGGGUCGUAAAACUCUGUUAUUAGGGAAGAACAUAUGUGUAAGUAACUGUGCACAUCUUGACGGUACCUAAUCAGAAAGCCACGGCUAACUACGUG